AGGUCAAAACUUUUAAAAUGUCACUUCUUCUGCGCUUUGCAUAGAAAUACAUUGGAUCAGUGGGAGGCUCCCUGCCCACAGAAGGGGCUGCGGGAAGAAUGCUGCCUGCUGCUGAGCCUCCACUUUCCUGCAGCUGUGAGCUGAGCAGAAAGGCACUGUGGGAGUCUAUUGUUGCCCCAGCUGGGUAAUAGUUUUCUUAUUUUACAGUCAGCAGCCAAGGGGGGUUGGGGUGUCUCCGUAAAGUGCCUGAAAA
rnacentral:lncRNA from 10 species